rnacentral:rRNA from 1 species
AUUGAACGCUGGCGGCAUGCCUUACACAUGCAAGUCGAACGGCAGCACGGGAGCAAUCCUGGUGGCGAGUGGCGAACGGGUGAGUAAAGUAUCGGAACGUGCCCAGUCGUGGGGGAUAACGUAGCGAAAGUUACGCUAAUACCGCAUACGAUCUAUGGAUGAAAGCGGGGGCUCGCAAGACCUCGCGCGAUUGGAGCGGCCGAUAUCAGAGUAGGUAGUUGGUGGGGUAAAGGCUCACCAAGCCGAUGAUCUGUAGCUGGUCUGAGAGGACGACCAGCCACACUGGGACUGAGACACGGCCCAGACUCCUACGGGGGGCAGCAGUGGGGAAUUUUGGACAAUGGGCGAAAGCCUGAUCCAGCCAUGCCGCGUGCAGGAUGAAGGCCUUCGGGUUGUAAACUGCUUUUGUACGGAACGAAAAGGUUUGGGCUAAUAAGCUGAGCUCAUGACGGUACCGUAAGAAUAAGCACCGGCUAACUACGUGCCAGCCGCCGCCGUAA